rnacentral:lncRNA from 1 species
ACACGUCUGCGGUGUUACCCACGACUGCCUGGGACCUGGCCAAGGGCUCCACACACCAAGACCAAGGCAGCAGGAAGGAGAAAGGAGGGAAGGUAAAAGACUACUGAAAAGCUUUCAGCUGGGGCUGGGCAUGGAGGCUCACACCUGUAAUCCCAACACUUUGGGAAGCCGAGGCUGGUGGAUCACUUGAGCCCAGGAGUCUGAGACCAGCCUGGCCAACAUGGCAAAACCCUGUCGCUACAAAAAAUACAAGAAUUAGCCAUGUGCACCUGUGGUCCCAGCUCCCAGGGCCGGGAGCCUGAAACCAAGGUGUCCACAGGGCCCUGCUGCCCCCAGAGGCUCUGGGCAGAGCCCUUCCGCCUUUCCAGCUCCCCCUGGUUCCCGUGCUCCUCGGCCUGUGGCCCCAUCACUCUGGCCUCUGCCUUCAUCUCAUGCCGAGAUCCCUGAAGCGGGCCCAGCUCCGUUCACUGCUCCCCCGGCCUCCUGCUGUUUCCCACACGCAGCCAUGGUACAGGGCAGCUCAUCCCACCACCUCCCCAACCGCAGCCUCCAGGGAUGUACACCCUGCCUCAGGGGCUGUGCCUGGGCCCUGGCUGGUGGAGGGCACAGCCGUCAGGGAAGGCCCUCAGCUGCAGGAUGCCGUGCCUCAGAGACCAACCAGGCCCUCGAAGGCACUGUGGCCGGCCCAGAUGUCAGCAGCUCCAGCAAUUAGGCUGGGACAGAUGGUGCCUGGUGACACAAGGGGACUGUGGGGGCCACAGGGGACCCUGCUCACCUGGACCUACCGUGGAGGCCAGGGAGGGAGAUGGACUCGAAGGGCGGAAGGGCCCAGAGAAGGCACAUUUGCAGAGCAGCGGCCGCAUUUCCAGAGCUCGGGAGCCCAACAGGAAUCCCGUCUGGCCAUGGGACCACCGCCCUUGGGGCUGGGGGAUGCCGCAGGGGACGGCAGAGGGCAGACAGGCCAGGAAAAGGGGAGGGCAGAGGGCAGACAGGCCAGGAAGAGCGCCUGCAAGUGCCCAAGGAAGGGACCAAACCCAGGCCCCUGGACCAGAGCGGCCGCCUGGUGGGGCAGGCUGGAAGGGGCCAAGGCCAGCGCCAAGGGGGAGCAGGUGAGGGACCCUGGUGGGCAUCUGUGGGAACAAGGCCACGUUUCUCCCUGCGCACGCUUUAAUCAAGGACAUUCCUGUGGUUCUCCAAAAGUGUCGCACACUACAUGGGUGUCGUGAGCUGGGCUCCGUGAGAGUGUGCGGGUGGCUGGGGGCAGCAAGGGAGCAGCAAGGCCUCAAACCCGGGCGGCGGCCUGGCCUGCGCGCCAGGAUGUGCGGUGUGAGUUUCCCGAGCUGCAGGAACAAGGUCCACAGACUGGGGAGCUUCACACAACAGAAACUGCCUCGCAGUUCCCGAGGCCAGAGCCCAUCGGGGUGGCUCCCUGAGGCCGUGAGCCCGGACUGUCCUGGGCCGCCCCCUCUUCCACAGGCUGAGAUCAUCCUUGGCGUCUGUUGGCCUGCGGCCGCCUCGCCCAACCUCUGCCCUCAUGUCCACACGGGUCCUCCCUGUGUGCAUGUUGGUGUCUGGAUCUGCCCUUUCUACUGUGGGGCAACUGUCGUCGAGGAUAGGGCCCACCACACAACACGGCCUCAUCGUAACUAAGUAUAGUCAGCAGUGAUCCUAUUUCCCAAUAAGGUCCCAUUCUGAGGUCCUGGACUUCAACAUGUGAAUUUUGGGGGCCACAACUCUACCCUGGCAUGCAGAGAGAGAAGGGGGGCGUGGAGUCCCCCUGGGGGGAAGUCCCUUGGGAAGUCACAGGCCCCCUUGGUGGGGCAAUUGGGACGUGGGUGUGAGGGUCCUGGGUACAGGGAGCCUGCCUACCAAGGCUCUGCCGACAGCUAUUUCUAAAUUCCUCGUGGAAAAUACCCUGUGGCCCUCCUCAUCUGGAGCGAGCGACGGGCUGGAGGGUGUCUGAGCCAGGCUGGUGCCGGGGAGCAGAUGUGGGUGGCCCAACCCAGCCCCUUGUUCUUGUUCCCC